rnacentral:rRNA from 1 species
GGGCUCGCAGGCGGUUUCUUAAGUCUGAUGUGAAAGCCCCCGGCUCAACCGGGGAGGGUCAUUGGAAACUGGGGAACUUGAGUGCAGAAGAGGAGAGUGGAAUUCCACGUGUAGCGGUGAAAUGCGUAGAGAUGUGGAGGAACACCAGUGGCGAAGGCGACUCUCUGGUCUGUAACUGACGCUGAGGAGCGAAAGCGUGGGGAGCGAACAGGAUUAGAUACCCUGGUAGUCCACGCCGUAAACGAUGAGUGCUAAGUGUUAGGGGGUUUCCGCCCCUUAGUGCUGCAGCUAACGCAU